GAUGAACGCUGGCGGCGUGUCUAAGGCAUGCAAGUCGAAUGUCGGUAGCAAUACCGGCAUGGCAAACGGGAGAGUAACACAUUGGCAAUCUACCUCUAAGACGAGGAUAACCUUGCGAAAGCGAGAAUAAUACUCGAUAGUAUCGAAGGACAUAAGUCUUUUGAUUAAAGCUCCGGCGCUUAGAGAGGAGCCUAUGGCCUAUCAGCUAGUUGGUGAGGUAACGGCCCACCAAGGCAACGACGGGUAUGGGGUGCGAGAGCAUGGCCCCACUCACUGGGACUGAGACACUGCCCAGACUCCUACGGGUGGCAG
rnacentral:rRNA from 1 species